AGUAAAUUGGUUAAGUUAGAAAGGGCGCACAGUGGAUGCCUUGGCACUAGGAGCCGAAGAAGGACGGGACUAACACCGAUAUGCUUUGGGGAGCUGUACGUAAGCGUUGAUCCAGAGAUUUCCGAAUGGGGGAACCCACUAUCUUUAGUCGGAUAGUAUCCUUACGUGAAUACAUAGCGUGAGGAAGGCAGACCCAGGGAACUGAAACAUCUAAGUACCUGGAGGAAGAGAAAGAAAAAUCGAUUUCCUGAGUAGCGGCGAGCGAAACGGAAAGAGCCCAAACCAAGAAGCUUGCUUCUU
rnacentral:rRNA from 1 species